UACGUAGGGCGCUAGCGUUAUCCGGAAUUAUUGGGCGUAAAGAGCUCGUAGGCGGUUUGUCGCGUCUGCCGUGAAAGUCCGGGGCUCAACUCCGGAUCUGCGGUGGGUACGGGCAGACUAGAGUGAUGUAGGGGAGACUGGAAUUCCUGGUGUAGCGGUGAAAUGCGCAGAUAUCAGGAGGAACACCGAUGGCGAAGGCAGGUCUCUGGGCAUUAACUGACGCUGAGGAGCGAAAGCAUGGGGAGCGAACAGG
rnacentral:rRNA from 1 species